UUCUCAAUUCAUAGUAGAAAAGAGGCUAAACAUAAUUCCUCCCAAAUCCAAUUGACGACUACAACACCGUUUCUUCAUUUAGCAACCUUUGAAGAAACUGAAAGAAAUUCCUUCAACAAUCUCCGAUUUAAUCACCAUUCAGCGCUGUUUCCGUUUCUCUUCUUCUCUGAAGUUUUGUUAAACGGUGAAGCUAGGAAGGCUCAUACAGAGAACGAAGAGAAGACAGUUUGUGCACGGUCUUAUUCUUUAAGAAAUUAUGGCCAGGUGAAAAAACAAGUUCCUGAAAGUUGAUACUGGAUUUUGAUUUUGAUUGUUGCAUUAGAACGAGAUUGAUGAAGGACAUGGGCAAUGCAAAUGGCAAAGUAGAGGUUAUGGUGAUUGGUUGUGUUGAUUAUGAUGGGUCUUUUCUAAAACGUGCAGCCAAAUACUUGUUUGAAGUGUUGGAAAGAAGGAAAGAUGGUUUAACUGAAAGAUAUAUCUUCAGUCUCUCCCUCUUUAUUUGCAUACAUCAAAUAUAUUUGAGUUACUUAUUAAGUUCAAGACAAUUUUUGGAAAUUUAUUUCAAUUAAUUUUCUUUGAUGUU